CCCCGUCUCUUUCCUGUCCUGCCAUGGUAAAGAAGUGCUUGUUUCCCCUUCGCCUUCCACCACGAGUAUUUUUCCUGAGGCCUCCCAGUCAUGCUUCCUGUUAAGCCUGCAGAACUGAAAUCCAUGUAUUGCUGAAGGAAGAAAAUCCUGAAAAUGAUCCUCUCUGGUGCUGGCUAGAGAAAGGGAGCAUCAAAGACAGCCAAAAUCACCCAGACCCAUCUCCAGUGUCUAAUCUACAGAAUGGAAACCUUAAUCUACAAGCACAAGGGAAAGAAAAUCUGUAGCCCGAGGGCAUUAGUAGAAACCCAGAAUAGCUGCUACAGAGAGUUCCCAGCCAACACCAAAACACUACCAGAUUCCUCGCCCAUAUUACUACUACGUGGGUUGUCAGAUGAGAUUCAUGACAACCAGUACAAAACAAAGCAAGACGGGACCAGCACACGGGGUCAGGCCAUGCAGAGCAGUUAUAGCAACAUCUAAACUUCUGCGCCACUAACUUUAGUGUGUGGUCCAAGAUGCCUGCUGGAAUUCUAACAUUUAAGAUCACAACAUAGCAGGAAGAAGAGAAAGUGUGAGAAGAGCAAAUGAGAGUAAACGCCAGCCAAGUCAGUUUUAUUUCGACAGAGUUUUCCACAAGCCCACCCAACAUCUUUGACUUAUAUUUAAGUGAUCACCUGUGACUGCCAGCAAGAAUUAGAAAUAACAUUCUUUAGCUUUCUCCCAUGCUACACAGAGUAAAACUGAAGUUUAUCACUAAAGAAGAAAAGGAAGCA